rnacentral:rRNA from 1 species
GACGAACGCUGGCGGCGUGCUUAACACAUGCAAGUCGAACGGAAAGGCCCUGCUUUUGUGGGGUGCUCGAGUGGCGAACGGGUGAGUAACACGUGAGUAACCUGCCCUUGACUUUGGGAUAACUUCAGGAAACUGGGGCUAAUACCGGAUAGGAGCUCCUGCUGCAUGGUGGGGGUUGGAAAGUUUCGGCGGUUGGGGAUGGACUCGCGGCUUAUCAGCUUGUUGGUGGGGUAGUGGCUUACCAAGGCUUUGACGGGUAGCCGGCCUGAGAGGGUGACCGACCACAUUGGGACUGAGAUACGGCCCAGACUCCUACGGGAGGCAGCAGUGGGGAAUAUUGCACAAUGGGCGGAAGCCUGAUGCAGCAACGCCGCGUGCGGGAUGACGGCCUUCGGGUUGUAAACCGCUUUCGCCUGUGACGAAGCGUGAGUGACGGUAAUGGGUAAAGAAGCGCCGGCUAACUACGUG